ensembl:lncRNA
GAGAAAGGCAGUCGGAGCGCUGCAAACCCUGAGUUGCAACACCAGGACACCUUACCAAGGCCUGAGAGGAGCUGGCUGCCUGUAUUUCUCUUCUGCUGGACGUCUUUGCCUUAGUUCCCUAGCAUUUCUCUCCCACAAAACGCCCAUGCCCAUACGUGAGUUCAUCAGAGACUGUUUUCAUGCCAAGGACAGAGGUUUCAGGGAACUUGCAGGCACCUGACUUUCUCUGCUACUCUUAGAAAACCAUUCAAGGUUGGCUAGGAGAGUUGUGACUUAAUGAACCAGAAAUAGUGUGAGUUCCUUGGAACAGGGGUUUGAAAUCAGAUUCCGUUCUGGAGAGAUGGUGGCUUUGUUCACCGGGUGUUUAUUCCAUGCCAGAUGAGCCAGCUUCCCCAGCGUUGGCCAUGAAGGUAGAGCUUUUGUUUGCCAGGCUUAGUUAAGAUUUCUCCCUGCCAGUCUGCAGCUAUAGUGCAGAACCAUAAUGCAUGUUUUCCUUGGGGGGUGAAUGUUUUCCUUAAAAACUUGCUAUAAAACUUUUAAGAAGCCUACAGCCCCCACUUACAGCCUCCCCACUAAGUGCGAGCCCGCCUCGAACCCUCUAAUGAGCCUGGUCUCUGGGAUGAGACUGGCAAGCCGGGCCCAUCACAGCCCCAGUAUUGCGCUGCCCAGAGCCUUGAGCCAGGUCAAUUCUGAAUCUAAUUUCCUGAGUCCAUGCGCCGAUUUCCUCCCCCACCUCCUCUUUGCUGUGUUUUUGCGCACGUACCUGUCUCCACCCAAGGGUGGAAGCUCCUUUGGGGGCGGAAACCCUGAAGUCAGAAGGUUCAAGUUCAGAUUUCAGCUCAGGCACUUACUAGCAGUGUGGCUUGAGUGAGUAGCGCGCUGCUCCAGGCUAAUAUUUCUUUUCCUAUAAAAGGAGGACUCAUAUCCUCCGAAGGAUCUUUAUGAAAAUUAAAUGAGUUCAUCCAUAGGAAGGGCCAGAUAUACAGUAAGAAUUCCAUUUUGUAGCCAUUGCCAGCACCCCCCCCCCCCACCCAGUAGAGCUGGGUGCUUUGUAGGUGUUCAGUAAAUGUCAAAUGCUAAGAAAAAACAUGGCCCUUUGUGUAGGAAUUGCCAUAACUAUUUGAAGAGCUGGGGGAAAGGAAAGAAGGAAAGAGAAGGUGUGUUAUUGCCCUUUCAACGUUUGGGGAGCUUGUGGGAGGUACUGAGGUGCUCAGGGGCGUGAGGGGGAGAACUGUGCUCAGUCUUUUGUCUACACCCCUCUGAGGUCUGGGAUUUGCUCCGUGGGCAGUGGGAGGUGGCAGGCAAGGCAGCGUGAUCUUCAGGGGGAGAGCCUAUUAUGGCGCGCUUGGAGGGAGUGGAAUUUAUUCUUCUGAACCUCGUAAUGCCAACCACUUCACCUUUCCCGAGGCAUCUCUCCGGAUGGGCCUAUUUUAAAGACUUGAGCUGACAUCAUCACAUCUUAAAAGAACUGAGCAUAAUUGAAUUGCUGAUACAAGUGGGUACUUGCACGGAGCCCGGGUCACCCACAUCUCUAUGGAAACAUAUGUUUGCU